UACAAAAUGCCAAAUUGUGCCCACUGUGCCUUAUGAUGUGCCGAAGUGUGCCGAAGCAAAAAAAAAGCUGUUUUGGUGGCACUGGUUUCCGUGAAGUGAUGGCAUCACGGGAAAGACUUUUGUUUAUUUUUUAUUUGGAAAAGUCAAACCCGAAGAUUGUUUUCAAUUAAGAUUUUAAAUUUUGGAUUAAAUUUCAAUGCUUUGUCUAAGAAAAGAAACGGUGAAGACUAAGCUUCAAGCCAUUUAUAAGAUCCAGCAGCAACGUUGUUCGAUGGUUAUCAAUCAGAAGUUUCAUCUGACUCUCAUCUAUUUACGUCCGAGUCUACACCUAACGGGAACGUCCAAGUAGAUCACGAAGUUUGCCAACAAAUACAACCUAUGAUUGAUCCAGAACCUCUAGAUGGUCCGACGGUCGAUCGUAUGGAAUUUGGUGCUAUAAACCAGCGGUUAUUGUCCCUAAGGAAAAGUCGCCCAGAGUGAUAUCCCUGAUGUCAUUCGUAAUGAUUCCAGUGACCAUUUCUUCAGCUAGCCCAAUAUCCAUGGACUGCAGUGAACUGUCCACACCCAGGCGCAUGAAGUUACAACAGUGUAAGCAGCGGCCACUGUAUAGAAGUAAUCUACCGAGCAUCAUUCCGACUACGACGAACCAAUCAAUUCCCACGAAUCACAAACAAAUUUCAACCGAGAUCCAGCGAAGCGCCAACUACGUUCGUGCAGCGAAGGACUACACAAUUUUAAAAAGAUUUGUUUGCUCACUGCAUAGAGAAUGGACAUGAACUGUAUUCUUGUUUACAUGAAUCCGAUUCGUUCGAAUAGUUUUCACGGAUUCAUUCAAAUAUCCGAUUUUGCUCGCGUUGAUAAUUGUAAUUGUAUUUAUUAUUCUUACGAGAAACAGUUUACAUUUUAUGCACAUUAACAUUCGUUUGAAGAAUGCUGGUGAAAAUAUAAUAAAUGUUUUCUUCCAGAAAAAAUAGAUAUUAACAUAGAACUAGGAUAGUCUGACUAAGA